rnacentral:piRNA from 1 species
UGCAAUGUUGGUGUUCCAUGUGCUGUGCAUG